rnacentral:rRNA from 1 species
UACGAAGGGGGCUAGCGUUGCUCGGAAUCACGGGGCGUAAAGCGCACGUAGGCGGUUUGCUAAGUCAGGGGGGAAAUCCUGGAGCUCAACUCCAGAACUGCCUUUGAUACUGGCGAUCUUGAGUCCGGGAGAGGUGAGUGGAACUGCGAGUGUAGAGGUGAAAUUCGUAGAUAUUCGCAAGAACACCAGUGGCGAAGGCGGCUCACUGGCCCGGUACUGACGCUGAGGUGCGAAAGCGUGGGGAGCAAACAGG